rnacentral:rRNA from 1 species
CAGUAGCCACGGUAAUACAGAGGGUGCAAGCGUUAAUCGGAUUUACUGGGCGUAAAGGGCGCGUAGGUGGUUAUUUAAGUGAGAUGUGAAAGCCCCGGGCUUAACCUGGGAACUGCAUCUUAUACUGGGUAACUGGAGUGCAGUAGAGGGUAGUGGAAUUUCCGGUGUAGCGGUGAAAUGCGUAGAUAUCGGAAGGAACACCAGUGGCGAAGGCGGCUACCUGGACUGAGACUGACACUGAGGCGCGAGAGCGUGGGGAGCGAACAGGAUUAGAUACCCGUGUAGUCCCUGUCUCUUAUAA